GUGCUCUCUUUGGCAGCACAUAUACUAAAAUUGGAACGAUACAGAGAAGAUUAGCAUGGCCCCUGC
rnacentral:snRNA from 1 species